GACGAACGCUGGCGGCGUGCUUAACACAUGCAAGUCGAACGGAAAGGCCCUGCUUGCAGGGUGCUCGAGUGGCGAACGGGUGAGUAACACGUGGGUGAUCUGCCCCUUACUUUGGGAUAAGCCUGGGAAACUGGGUCUAAUACUGGAUAGGACCAUGCUGUAGGUGGUGUGGUGGAAAGAUUAGUUUCGGUAAGGGAUGAGCUCGCGGCCUAUCAGCUUGUUGGUGGGGUAAUGGCCUACCAAGGCGUCGACGGGUAGCCGGCCUGAGAGGGUGGACGGCCACAUUGGGACUGAGAUACGGCCCAGACUCCUACGGGAGGCAGCAGUGGGGAAUAUUGCACAAUGGGCGCAAGCCUGAUGCAGCGACCCCGCGUGGGGGAUGACGGCCUUCAGGUUGUAAACUCCUUUCAGCCAUGACGAAGCCCUUGUGGUGACGGUAGUGGUAGAAGAAGCACCGGCUAACUUCGUGCCAGCAGCCGCGGUUAAUACUUACGGUGCGAGCGUUGUCCGGAAAUACUGGGCAUAAAGAGCUCCCAAGGGGUCCGUCGCGCCAUUUGUGAUAACCCGGGGCCUUACUCCGGUCUGGUCUGUGAUACGGGCAUGACUGGAGUACUUUAGGGGAGACUGGAAUUCCUGGUGUAGCGGUGAAAUGCGCAGAUAUCAGGAGGAACACCGGUGGCGAAGGCGGGUCUCUGGGCAGUAACUGACGCUGAGGAGCGAAAGCAUGGGUAGCGAACAGGAUUAGAUACCCUGGUAGUCCAUGCCGUAAACGGUGGGCGCUAGGUGUGGGUUUCCUUCCACGGGAUCCGUGCCGUAGCUAACGCAUUAAGCGCCCCGCCUGGGGAGUACGGCCGCAAGGCUAAAACUCAAAGGAAUUGACGGGGGCCCGCACAAGCGGCGGAGCAUGUGGAUUAAUUCGAUGCAACGCGAAGAACCUUACCUGGGCUUGACAUGCACUGGAUGCGGCCAGAGAUGGUUGUUCCCUUUGUGGCUGGUGUGCCGGUGGUGCAUGGUUGUCCUCAGCUCGUGUCGUGAGAUGUUGGGUUAAGUCCCGCAACGAGCGCAACCCUUGUCUCGUGUUGCCAGCAUUUGGUUGGGGACUCGCGGGAGACUGCCGGGGUUAACUCGGNGGNNGGUGGGGAUGACGUCNNNUCNUCCUGCCCCUUAUGUCCNGGGCUUCNCNCCUGCUACAAUGGCUGGUNCNGNGNGUUGCGNUNCCGUGAGGUGGGGCUNNUCUCGUAAAGCCCGUCUCCGUUCGGNUUGGGGUCUGCCACUCGNCUCCCUGAAGUCGGNGUCGCUNGUNNUCGCNGAUCNGCNNUGCUGCGGCCAAAAAGUUCCCGGGCCU
rnacentral:rRNA from 1 species